GAUGAACGCUGGCGGCGUGCCUAAUACAUGCAAGUCGAGCGAACGGACGAGAAGCUUGCCUCUCUGAUGUUAGCGGCGGACGGGUGAGUAACACGUGGAUAACCUACCUAUAAGACUGGGAUAACUUCGGGAAACCGGAGCUAAUACCGGAUAAUAUUUUGAACCGCAUGGUUCAAAAGUGAAAGACGGUCUUGCUGUCACUUAUAGAUGGAUCCGCGCUGCAUUAGCUAGUUGGUAAGGUAACGGCUUACCAAGGCAACGAUGCAUAGCCGACCUGAGAGGGUGAUCGGCCACACUGGAACUGAGACACGGUCCAGACUCCUACGGGAGGCAGCAGUAGGGAAUCUUCCGCAAUGGGCGAAAGCCUGACGGAGCAACGCCGCGUGAGUGGUGAAGGUCUUCGGAUCGUAAAACUCUGUUAUUAGGGAAGAACAUAUGUGUAAGUAACUGUGCACAUCUUGACGGUACCUAAUCAGAAAGCCACGGCUAACUACGUG
rnacentral:rRNA from 1 species